UGCAAAAGCAAGAAAUCUUCAAUUGCACAGUAUUGCGCAAUAGCAAGAAAUAUCUAGUUACACAAUAUUGCGCAAUAGCAAGAAAUUUCCAAUUGCACAAUUUUUAUGAAAUAUUCUUUGAAAAUUGGAGAUAUCUUUCUUUGUCCAGAAUUGUAAUUGAAUCAACUUAAAUCAUUGUUUUAUACAAUAUAUAAUGUAUAUUCACUUUUACUACCAAC
rnacentral:lncRNA from 1 species